rnacentral:pre_miRNA from 1 species
UUUAUACUUCCUUCCUCCCGAAUUACUUGUUGCAGAAAUCGAUGUAUCUAGAUGCAUUUUAGUUUUAGAUAAACCCAUUUCUAUCAUUUUUGCAACAAGUAAUUCCGGGAGGACGGAGUAUCUG